ACCAAGGUACUAGAAGCUUAGUUUGAAAUAGUUUCUCUGUGGCUGGUAAGUGAUCUGUUUGUUAGACUAAUGAUUGAAGCUAGAAUUUUAGAAUGAGAAGGUUUAUCAUUCUUCGAUCAGCCGUUGCUUUUUAAAUAAGCUAAAAAGUAAGAAAAUAAAUGAAAAUGCACGUAGUUACUGAACUCAGCUAAAGCUCAUUUUAGAUUAGUUCAUUAGUAAGGUUUACAAAAGAUUUCUGAAAGUUGUUAUGGACUCUAUCAAAGCAUAAACGACCUAUUCCUCAAAUUGAAUUGACUUGUCUGCACUGCAAUGGGGAAUUCUAGCAGAACUACUCUGUGUACCUCAUUUUUGUCUUUAUGGGCAUAGAUUUUUUUAAUGUGCCGAAAAAAGCCACCUUAUGUUAUAUCCUUCACAACACAGAGAGAUGAAAUUCCAUGAAAAGGUGAUUUGUGAACAGUCAACACCCCAAUUGUAAGAAUUGUUGAGAAUUUGUAUUAAACAAAUUUGCCCUAAGUUCAUUGUGGCUUUAACUGACCUAAUUUGGUUAGUGUUGAGGUUCAGGGUUGAUGAUCCUCAGCAUCUUUACCCUGGUAUCCAACUCUAUCACAAAUAUCUGUUCACAAUUGAAGUUCGAGGAGAAUAAAGUGUUGGGUUUAAAAAAAAAAUGAGACCAUUCUUCCCUGGUGUGAUUUCAUUAUGUCAAGUCUGCUGUUUAAAUACAUUAGAGGUUAGCCAAAAGAGAUGAAAUGGUACUUUCCAUAUGAUUCCACUUAGUUGUGGUAUCCUUUGGAUGGAUAGAAGUUAGCAAACCUUGCAUGAUCUUGGACAUAACCCAUACAUACCUAACUGCUUCAGAAGUAUCAAACUGAUGUGAAAAUUAAAAUUUGGGGAAAUGGUCUCCUUUGUCAACAAAAUUUAUACUUCCACCACUCAUAUCUUCACACUUGUGAGAUAUCUUUAUUUUGAUAUUGGAUACACAUUGGUUCCUUAUUUUCUGCUUUGGUUGUGCCCAAGUUUGGGCAUAUGCUUCUACAUUUAACACAGCUACUCACCUAGUUUCGCCUCCAUUUAGGAGCUGUUAUGCUAUCAAGUCAAAGCCUUUGAAAACCAAUUGCUUGACUUUGCUCUGAUCAUUCCCAAUCCAAGCGUGAAGUGAACAAGUAGGAACACUCUCAGUCACUUACUGUGUAUAGUUUUUUGAGCUGGAUCAGUGCAAUACAAGAAAUACCCAGUUUCUGAUGUGAUUCUAUUUCCAGGAAAUUCUGUUGAAUUUUGAAAUAUUUUCAGUGGUUUAAUGUGCUCGACUUAGUCUUGCAUUCCAUUACUUCCACAUUUGAAAAUGUUUAUUUGUGCUUCUAUACUGCUUUUGCUAUAAGAUUGGGCAUGCAUUUUUAAAUAUGUCUAUUACAUGUUAAGUGAACAGUGCUAUAUUUAAUUUCAGUCAAUAAUACAUACAUACAUGCUUUAACAGGCUAGGUUUGAUGGUAAUGGGAAGCCUUAUUUUGGCAUCCUUUAUGACAUAUGCUGCAGAGCACCUCUCAGUAAGAACAUUUAUGAGGGGCUAUGAAGACAGGGAUGCACAAAGAACCAGGAACAUAUGUUCUUUCUGUUAGUAGUAGCCUACUUUUCAUGUUAUUAGCUAACCGUUAUCAGCAGCUAUUCUUGUUUUGUCUGUAAUUUGUUUUAAACAUAUUCUUCCCUAUAUUUAAUUGUAGAAUAUUGUGGAAAUUUUUUCCAUUCUAGAGCUGUUCCUUUUGAGUAGGCUGGUCCUAAUUUUCAUGGGAUAACAAUCUUUAUUCUACUGUCAGUUGUAAUUUAAGCUUGUUACAAGCAACUGGAUAGAUUUCACCUUGAAACUGACAUCCAAGGGAGGAUGCUUAAUGUGUUUAUAAGUCAACACAUCAAGCAUCCAGUCUGUACCUUCGGAAUCGACGUCUAUGGCAGCCCAUUUCUCAAUUAGAUGACUCAGCCGAGGCAGUCUUCUACUUUUGUAGUCAUCUCCAGGUGCACCAUCUCAAAUGAGGGUUCAUCCAAGAAAGGGUGCCUGCUAUAAUCACAGGCACUUGGGUAGAAAUCACUCUAAAAAUUGGCUCGUAAGUGAAGAUUACCCGAUAUGCUUAUAAGUUCAUAAGGCUGCCUUGGAGCCUUUCUCCAGCUGAUUGGAACUUGAAGUAGCUUUUAUUUGGUGAUUUUCUGUUUUACAAUUUUUUAAUCAAAAAAUUGUUCUAGCUUUAAGAAUGUUGUAUGCAAUGCUAAAUUAUUAAUGUAUCAAGUGAAAAUACUCCUGUCUCCUGCCAUUCUAGUUGCUAGAAAUUAUACUAUGGUUGGUUAAUUUUCUAUAAUGUGUGUAAACUUUUCUUCCUUCUACUGGGAAUUUUGUACUUCAAUAGAGAGAACUAUUAAGCCAAUUCGGUUCUCAUUAAAAUUGGGUCGAAUCGCACUAUACUUACCCCUAAAUAUAUCGUUAGUUGAUGUAACUCUGGAU
rnacentral:lncRNA from 1 species